UGGUCAUUAGAAGUUUUUAAUUUUGAAAACUUCUUAUUUACCUGUUUGGAGAUUGAAGCAAAUACGAAGAAAAUCAAUAUUGUUAUACACUUGUAUACGUUUCGGCGUCGAAAAAAUUAAAACUUUUUAAAAAAAUAAAAAAAAAACUGGAUUUAUAAACUCAUAUUUAAAUGGUUGUUUUGCCAGGACGAAGUAUGACGUCUCCGGAAACCAGAACUUUUUCACGAUGUUCUAAAGAAUGCACUUUAAAAUUACGUAAGACGUGGGCACAAACUGUCUUCAUUACCAUCAUGGCGAAACGUUGGCCUGUAUAACGGAC